CUCCCCGGUGCUGCCCCUCACCCACUCAGGGCCCUUUUCUCUAACGUGGGGGGCUGUGAGGAGAGGGUCUCUGUCCAGAGAGGAGGGCGGGAAGAGUUCUGCUUGAAUCACUCAACAAGAACGAGCAAUCAGCCAAUGGCCAGUCCCAAUCCAGGGAGUCCACAAACUCUCAGUUCAAGAAAAUGAGCAGAGACUUCCCAUCGGCCAAUGGAGAGGCUGGUGGGGAGGCCCCCAAGGGCUACACUCAGGACCAGGUGGAUGCAGUGAAGAGGGUAAAGCAGUGCAAAGAUUACUAUGAAAUUCUGGGAGUAAACAGAGAAGCUUCUGAUGAGGACCUGAAAAAGGCCUACCGGAAACUUGCACUGAAGUUUCACCCAGAUAAGAACCACGCACCAGGGGCUACAGAGGCAUUUAAAGCCAUUGGUAAUGCAUACGCAGUAUUGAGCAACCCAGAGAAGAGGAAGCAAUAUGACCAGUUUGGAGAUGAGAAACUCAACCCUGCUCGGCACGGACACAGUCACUCGGACUUCCACCGUGGGUUUGAGGCCGACAUCUCACCCGAGGACCUCUUCAACAUGUUUUUUGGUGGUGGUUUUCCUUCUAGUAACGUUCACGUAUACAGCAAUGGCAGGAUGCGAUAUACCUACCAUCAGAGGCAGGACAGACGAGAACAUCAGGGUGACGGUGGCCUUGGGUUGUUUGUCCAGCUGAUGCCUAUCCUCAUCCUGAUCAUUGUGUCUGCUCUCAGCCAGAUGAUGGUCUCCAGCCCACCCUACAGUUUGAGCCAGAGGCCGUCUGUGGGUCACAUACACAGGAGAGUGACAGAGCACUUGAAAGUCAGCUACUACGUAUCUGAGAACUUUGCAGACGAAUACACAGGCACAAACCUGAAAAACGUUGAAAGGAGCGUGGAGGACGACUAUAUUGCAAACCUUCGAAAUAACUGCUGGAAAGAGAAGCAGCAGAAGGAAGGCUUGUUGUACCGGGCACGCUACUUCGGAGACUCGGAUCUGUACCAGCGAGCACAGAAGAUGGGCACCCCCAGCUGUAGCAGACUGUCAGAUGUUCAAGCCUCUCUGCACGGAUAGUCACCGCCUGCCCGCUCAGCAGAGGUCUAAGUACGAGCUGGUGGUGCUUCCCCUGGCAGCGGAGCAGGGCACAAUAGUGCUUUUCAUACUUACUUAAAUCUCUGUUUGCGACACAGAUCUUCACCACUCUCCUCUGGAUGCACCCCCAUCACAGGGGGGAAGCACCCCCCUCUGUCAAGCGUACACUCAUUAAUCGGGAAAUUGAUUUUGUUUAGUUUGCAUGUCGGCACUCUCAGCUCCUCUCUCCAAGCUCACUGUUUUCUCUGGCACUGUCAGUGUUGGGUCUCUAGGAACAGAGCAAACGCUCCAGGCAUGUUAGCGACUCGGCAGAAGUCUUGUCAACUGCACAUUCGAUACAGCAGCCGUGCGUGCCUCAGCUGGUUGGAAGAUUUUUACCGGCCGUGGCAGCCAGCCGCCAGGUUUUAAUGAAACUUUUUUUGGUUGCUUUAUUGUCUGUUUUACUGAAAAAGCUGUUAUCCCCUGGCACUGGGAGCAGUAUGAUGACAGGGAACGGACUCUUACCAAACAGAUGUUCCUUGCCCCCCCGUUGCCUUCCCAUGACACUCAAGGAGAACAAAGCAAAUGGCCAGAGUUCACAGCAGGUUGUAGAAAUAUCUUACUGCGUUAAACUGGGAAUCAAAGUAAAAACAGCUGAGGGGGAUUCUGGAAGACUCGGGGGUUGAAGAGCUUGAAUUAAGGCGAGCCCAGAUAGCACGCAUGAGACCGGGUGUGCUGGGUCAUGGGAGAACUGCACAAAAAUAAUGAAAAAAAUUGGCAUGGAGUUUGGAGUCCUUUUUCUGCUUAAUUAUCUGGGCUGAUUUUGCCUACCAGAUACUGCUGGGGUGGCUGUAAAACAUACAGGUUCCUCCUGCCACAAAAUUAUUUGAAAACAGGGUUUCUACAGAAAAUAAAUUGGAGGUGAAGCUUGCACCAAGUGUUAGUUGUACGGACACCAUUUAGGCUUGCAAAGACUUCUUGGGAACGUUGGGCUUCUAGCUGCUUGAUUGUGGACACAAGUAAGGAGGUUUGGCAGGGGAGGUUUUGUUCGGUUUUUGUUUUUCUUGGCAAAGGGAGCGCGUCUGAAAGUUUGGCCUUUAAAGCAAUUCCUCUGGGUCGCAUUUGGCCUUUUUUUGGGUGUAUCCUGUUUUUGGAACCGUUCUUAUCUUGAUACGCCCACUCUCUUGUUUUGAUAACUGCACCUCUUCUUUCAUGAUAGACCGGCAUUAAUUACCUGCUUUUCUUUAAUUCCCUCUCUCUACCCGUGGUCUGAAAAGAGAGCUGCUCUUAGGCAGAGGGCCUGCUGCGGACUGAGAUAGUGCAAUUGAACUCAUGAAACGCCUGAAGACUUUUGGUGAAGUGCACUGAGCCGAGGUGACAGACUUGAUAUUUAAAAGAAUCAAACCUUAUCUUAAAAAUGGAAUUGGAGAAUUAGCAACGCACAACUGCCCUUUUUCUUCUCUCUGCCUGUCUCCGCUGUUCGACCUACAUCUCAGGCAGCGAUUAGGACAGGAAAUCAAGCUGCCCGUCUUCCUCCUUCCCUUCUGACACCGCUAGUGUGCGACAGUCUCCUUGCUCCUGGGCUCCCACAACCCCAAGAACAGACGCGUAGAGUGUAAAAUAACACAAACUAACUGCAGAAGCCGUGAAGCAGAAGGAGAUCCUUCGCAACUGCGCUGGUCACUGCCGACGGAGAGAGAAAUUGGACGAUUUGGUGAUAAAAGAAAACUUUGAAAAAAAGAAAAUAUAAUCUAUUUAGAAUUAAUUUAUAGCUGUAUAUAUGUUGUACUUUUAAACUAUGCAGGGGUUGGAUGAUUAAAUUAUUUUGUUUUCUGCCCGGUUUGGUAAACAAGGAAGCGGGAAGUCUUUUCCCAGGGUGUCUUGCUCUGCAGUGCUUUCCUGCCUGACACACUAAAAGAAGAAUCACUUUGCUGUUACUGUAUUUUGCUUUCUGGAGGACAGCGGCAUUCUGCGGCUUGGGAUGUCGAUACCUGCCUUUCGGGUUUUAAUAAAAGAAAUUCCAAAUCUGUAGGGGGUAACAAAGAAAUUGGGGAAACUGUCCAGAUUUGUGGUGUGGUUCUGCAACGUGGGCAGAAGCUGCAGCGGGUCAGCUGAGCCCCCGCGUCGUACUCAGUGAUGGGAAGGAUUGUCCUGGAUGGUUUUUGCUCAUCAGUCGUUGGGUUUAUUUGUGCACGUAACUUCUUUUUUUGCAGAGUCUGCUUUAAUUUUGCCUCGUCAUCAGCGUGCAGCGUUCAUUCUGUAAAGAGGGCUUUCCACAAGCCGUCUCCCUUUGUUGGUGUUUUUUUUUGUGUGUGUGUCCUACACUUGGGGUUCCUCACCCACCAGGACUCCCGUUUGCAACAUGGCUGUGGCCUUGACACCCUAUCUCUAACGUUUCCUAGAGGAGACCCAUAAAAUACUGCUAAUUCAUAAGAAAUGGAGCUUUCUAUUGCUUCUGUUGAAAGAAGUUUUGCUGGGGGAGAUCACAGGGUGCGCCUGAGCUCUACUCGGACCCUGCCUGAGCUCUGCAGCAUGUCUCUCACUCGAUCACCGACAGGCAGGACUGGCGGGAGGGUGCUCGAGGUUAGGAGCCAUCUCUUCAAAGCAAAGCCGGCAUGAGCGGAGCUCUCUUCCAUUGAAUAAACUGGAUUUUUAUUUUUUUUUUUUUGGUACUUUGCAGUUCAUUUUUGUCUAAAGACAUUUCCAGUGAGAACAGUCCCCCAACAUGCUCGGGGGAAUGAAUCAAAAGCACGGUGGCUUCCGGGUGAGGUGGCAGGGGCUGGAAGAGGCGAGAGGUAAGGUGGUUUUAUUUCUUUGUCAUUAGGAAUCCACGUGCUCUGUCUUCAGCUAUUUAUUUAUUUUGCAAAAUAUCAGCCCUCCCGUUAACUGCAAGCCUUACUAUCCCACAGCCACCAUGACCUGGACCUGAUUUUAAGGGGUUUUUUUCUUUUUGUUUCUUUAAAUUCCUCCACCUUUGGAAGGAAUUGGGUGGAAGUACAGCAUUUGGAAAUAGCUCUUAGUAGCGGCACAGGCUAGCUGGCAUGAAGAGAUCAUGGGGAGGGGGUUAAACGAAAACCACGUACACAGAAGGUGCUGAAUGUCUUGCACAACAGCAUUCCUUGCCCAGAGCCUGCCCACCAAAACCUUUUGAUUAUUUUUCUUC